rnacentral:rRNA from 1 species
UACGAGGGGGCGAGCGUUAUUCGGAAUUAUUGGGCGUAAAGGGUGCGUAGGCGGUUUGGUAAGUCUGAUGUGAAAUCUAUGGGCUCAACUCAUAGUCUGCAUCGGAAACUGCCGGGCUUGAGUAUGGGAGAGGUGGAGUUGGAAUUCCUGGUGUAGCGGUGAAAUGCGUAGAUAUCAGGAGGAACACCUGUGGCGAAAGCGGCUC